rnacentral:lncRNA from 1 species
AAAUGAGAAAAAAAAAAAAAGCACAACAAUAACAAAAAAUAGCACGACCAGUAGAAACUGCCGGGGAGCUUUAGGGAAGCGGCGCGGGGCCGUGCUGGGCGCCCAGGAGCAGCGUGCGUCCUCGGCUGCUGGAGGGGCCGCCCGUGCCGGGCACCGCGGACCCACCUCUCCUCUCCCAGCUGCGUCUCCUCCGCAAGCCCCAGGGAACGAUUGCACGCAGAGUGCUGCGUUUCCGAGCCGCCACAGUCAUUUCAGAGACCUUUUAGGCAGGGAAAGUGCUCUGUAGCGUGUAAUUUGAAGGCUCUGCUCUGAACCUUCGCUGUCGCUCUGCUAAACGAUCCUCUGCUCUUCCAAACCUUUGCUGCCUGGAAACGGGCGGCGGUGACCUGGUUCCUGGCCUUGCUCCGUGCCCGGCCCCCCGCGAAGGGAUCCCAAAACACGACAGAGGCGAGGGCAGAAUCGCCAGGUCCUCCCUCCACGCUUCCUCUGCGGGAGCUUUUUCGCAGGAAACCCAGGAAAAUGCCGGUGCAGGAGCCGCUCUGAGGCAGAAGAGCAGCAGCUGGGUCUGGGGACACAGGUUUCUGAGCAGGGGAUGCAGAGGCUGGACGGUCUGCGCAGCUCUUGCCCUUACACGUAAGGUCUCUCCUGGGACCGCUAAUUUGCGGUGGCACUGGAGAUCGCCCCGGUUGCAGGCCUGCUGUCACUUGGCUCGUCCUGCCCUCAGCCCCCUCUGCACUGGAGCCCCGAGCCCCCUCCGUGUUGGCCCCGAUGUGGCCAGCCAGCCCUGCCAGCCUGCGGCUGCGCUGCGCCGCGCUGGGCCGGGAGGAUCCGCUAAUUACUGGCGGCUCUUAAUAUGGCCCCUGCACGCUGCCAGAGCGGCGUGAAGGGCUCAGAGCAGGAGACACAACCUGCUCCAUCGUGUCUUCUGUGUCAGCCUGCGACGAACUGAAUGCAAAAAGGCUGUCUGAGCCGCAAACAGCGGAGCCCUUGGAAUUUUAAAGGUGCAGGGCUCAGAAAACAAAGGCGCGGCGAUUGCGCUGCUGAAUAUUCAUCCCGGCGCCUGAUCCCACCAGGAGCAAAAGCCCCCACAGCGCCCGUGGAAGCGUAUGGGAGGGACCUGGGUCUGAACCCCGUCCUGGGCUCCAGCCCAAGUCUGAGGGGGGAGGGCAAAUUAGUCCUUAAUGCACAUAGAUCUUAGGCUAAAACCUGAUAAGGGAACUCUCCUAUGUUAAUUUACCUGAGUUAUUUACUAUACUGAUUGCUGAAGGUACUCUGAUUAGCGCAUGAAAUAUUUCUAUACCUUCGGUCUGAUUAACCCAUAUCUGCAAAAUAAAUAUUUGUCUCAUUAUAGUUACGCGAUCGUG